GACGGAGGGUGCUAGCGUUGUUCGGAUUGACUGGGCGUAAAGGGCGUGUAGGCGGUCGGCCAAGUCUGAUGUGAAAGCCCGAGGCUCAGCCUCGGAAGUGCGUCGGAAACUAGUCGGCUGGAGCGCGAUAGAGGAGGGUGGAAUUCCUGGUGUAGCGGUGAAAUGCGUAGAUAUCAGGAGGAACACCGGCGGCGAAGGCGGCCCUCUGGAUCGUUGCUGACGCUGAGACGCGAAAGCGUGGGGAGCAAACAGG
rnacentral:rRNA from 1 species